rnacentral:rRNA from 1 species
AGAAUCAACGCUGGCGGCGUGCCUAACACAUGCAAGUCGAACGAGAAAGUGGAGCAAUCCACGAGUAAAGUGGCGCACGGGUGAGUAACACGUGACUACCUACCCUUGAGUGGGGGAUAACCUAGGGAAACCUGGGCUAAUACCGCAUAACACCUACGGGUCAAAGGAGCAAUUCGCUUAAGGAGGGGGUCGCGGCCGAUUAGUUAGUUGGCGGGGUAAUGGCCCACCAAGACGAUGAUCGGUAUCC